AAGUCGUAACAAGGUUUCCGUAGGUGAACCUGCGGAAGGAUCAUUAAAGAAUUCGGCUUCGCAGCCAAGUUCUCACCCUUUGUAUACCGAAACUAUGUUGCUUUGGCAGGCCCCUGCAUUUCUCGCGGGCCCUGCCAGGAUGGAUUAAUAACCCUAGAAUCUCUGCUGUCUGAGUACUAUACAAUAGUUAAAAC
rnacentral:misc_RNA from 1 species